GGACCUGCAAGAACGAUUCACAGAGAGCUAAUGCGCAGGGAAGUCUUGUUUUAAGUCCUCCCUGCGCAUCAGCCUGCUCUUGUAGGAGCCAGGCUUGGGCCCCCCCUCUCUAUAAGUGCCAGACAGAGCCAGAUUAAGGUGGGGGCCCAGGGGGUAAGUACCUCCCCCCCGCCACCCACCACAGAUCGUAUCUUAAACACUGACCUGCAGCGCAGCAACAGCAGGUACUAGCAGCCUUCACACUGACAGCGCAGCACCUCCAAUGUGCUGUGCUUCUGACGACUGCCCAGAUUGAAAGCCUGCGCUGUAACUGACUGGCCACGCGGCUGGCAGUUAGGAGCCAGCCAGGGUGGAGAGAGAGAGGAGAUGGUGAGCAGCUGAGCACUCAUUAAGCCGGCAUAUGUCUGUUGAGGAGCAGCAUGCUGCAGUCACCUCAACCUAGAAAACAUUAGAAAAAAGAAAAAAAGUGAUACAGCUGUAGGAACCGGAAGCCCCAAAACAAGGACCUGAGAGGUAACUGAUGGCCGGUCAUCUAUGAAAGGCUAGAUAGGCUGAG